GAUGAACGCUAGCGGCGUGCCUAACACAUGCAAGUCGAACGGGGUACCCGAAACGGAGACUUCGGUUGAAGUUUUGGACUACCUAGUGGCGGACGGGUGAGUAACGCGUGAGCAAUCUGCCUCACAGAGGGGGAUAACACAGAGAAAUUUGUGCUAAUACCGCAUAACAUAUAGAGGAGACAUCUUCUUUAUAUCAAAGAUUUAUCGCUGUGAGAUGAGCUCGCGUCUGAUUAGCUAGUUGGUGGGGUAACGGCCUACCAAGGCGACGAUCAGUAGCCGGACUGAGAGGUUGAACGGCCACAUUGGGACUGAGACACGGCCCAGACUCCUACGGGAGGCAGCAGUGGGGAAUAUUGCGCAAUGGGGGAAACCCUGACGCAGCAACGCCGCGUGAGUGAUGAAGGCCUUUGGGGUUGUAAAGCUCUGUUGUAAAGGAGAACGUGCAGAUGAGGAAAU
rnacentral:rRNA from 1 species